CCCUUAGAGUUUGAUCCUGGCUCAAGAUGAACGCUGGCGGCGUGCUUAACACAUGCAAGUCGAACGGGGAACAUUUUAUGGAAGCUUCGGUGGAAAUAGCUUGUUCCUAGUGGCGGACGGGUGAGUAACGCGUGGGUAACCUGCCUCACACUGGGGGAUAACAGUCAGAAAUGACUGCUAAUACCGCAUAAGCGCACGGGAUUGCAUGAUCCAGUGUGAAAAACUCCGGUGGUGUGAGAUGGACCCGCGUUGGAUUAGCCAGUUGGCAGGGUAACGGCCUACCAAAGCGACGAUCCAUAGCCGGCCUGAGAGGGUGGACGGCCACAUUGGGACUGAGACACGGCCCAGACUCCUACGGGAGGCAGCAGUGGGGAAUAUUGCACAAUGGGGGAAACCCUGAUGCAGCGACGCCGCGUGAAGGAAGAAGUAUCUCGGUAUGUAAACUUCUAUCAGCAGGGAAGAAAAUGACGGUACCUGACUAAGAAGCCCCGGCUAACUACGUGCCAGCAGCCGCGGUAAUACGUAGGGGGCAAGCGUUAUCCGGAUUUACUGGGUGUAAAGGGAGCGUAGACGGAGCAGCAAGUCUGAUGUGAAAGGCGGGGGCUCAACCCCCGGACUGCAUUGGAAACUGUUGAUCUUGAGUACCGGAGAGGUAAGCGGAAUUCCUAGUGUAGCGGUGAAAUGCGUAGAUAUUAGGAGGAACACCAGUGGCGAAGGCGGCUUACUGGACGGUAACUGACGUUGAGGCUCGAAAGCGUGGGGAGCAAACA
rnacentral:rRNA from 1 species